UAGGGGAUUAGCUCAGUGGUAGAGUACUUGCCUAGUAAUCUAGCAUGGGCAAGGUCCUGGGUUUGAUCCCCAGCAUUGAA
rnacentral:tRNA from 1 species